rfam:Ovis aries breed Texel chromosome 1, whole genome shotgun sequence.
UCCCUGGUGGCUCAGUGGUAAAGAAUCUGCCUGCUGAUGCAGGAGACACAGGUUUGAUCCCUGGUCUGGGAA